rnacentral:rRNA from 1 species
AAGCUCGUAGUUGAAUUUCGGGGUUAGUAGGUUGGUCAUGCCUCCGGUAUGUACUGAUCUCACUGAUUCCUCCUUCCUUAUGAACCGUAAUGCCAUUAAUUUGGUGUUGCGGGGAAUUUGGACUGUUGCUUUGAAAAAAUUAGAGUGUUUAAAGCAGGCUAACGCUCGAAUACAUCAGCAUGGAAUAAUGAAAUAGGACGUUCGAUCUUAUUUUGUUGGUUUCUAGGAUUGACGUGAUGAUUAAUAGGGAUAGUUGGGGGCAUUAGUAUUCAAUUGUCAGAGGUGAAAUUCUUGGAUUUAUUGAAGACUAACUACUGCGAAAGCAUUUGCCAAGGAUGCUUUCAUUAAUCAAGAACGAAAGUUAGGGGAUCGAAGACGAUCAGAUACCGUCGUAGUCUUAACCAUAAACUAUGCCGACUAGGGAUCGGAUGAUGUUAAUUUUUUAAUGACUCAUUCGGCGCCUUACGGGAAACCAAAGUGUUUGGGUUCCGGGGGGAGUAUGGUCGCAAGGCUGAAACUUAAAGGAAUUGACGGAAGGGCACCACCAGGGGUGGAGCCUGCGGCUUAAUUUGACUCAACACGGGGAAACUCACCAGGUCCAGACAUAGUAAGGAUUGCCAGAUUGAGAGCUCUUUCUUGAUUCUAUGGGUG